rnacentral:rRNA from 1 species
GAUGAACGCUGGCGGCGUGCCUAAUACAUGCAAGUAGAACGCUGAAGCUUGGUGCUUGCACCGAGCGGAUGAGUUGCGAACGGGUGAGUAACGCGUAGGUAACCUGCCUGGUAGCGGGGGAUAACUAUUGGAAACGAUAGCUAAUACCGCAUAAAAUUGAUUAUCGCAUGACAAUCAAUUGAAAGGUGCAAAUGCAUCACUACCAGAUGGACCUGCGUUGUAUUAGCUAGUUGGUGGGGUAACGGCUCACCAAGGCGACGAUACAUAGCCGACCUGAGAGGGUGAUCGGCCACACUGGGACUGAGACACGGCCCAGACUCCUACGGGAGGCAGCAGUAGGGAAUCUUCGGCAAUGGACGGAAGUCUGACCGAGCAACGCCGCGUGAGUGAAGAAGGUUUUCGGAUCGUAAAGCUCUGUUGUAAGAGAAGAACGAGUGUGAGAGUGGAAAGUUCACACUGUGACGGUAUCUUACCAGAAAGGGACGGCUAACUACGUGCCAGCAGCCGCGGUAAUACGUAGGUCCCGAGCGUUAUCCGGAUUUAUUGGGCGUAAAGCGAGCGCAGGCGGUUAGAUAAGUCUGAAGUUAAAGGCUGUGGCUUAACCAUAGUACGCUUUGGAAACUGUUUAACUUGAGUGCAAGAGGGGAGAGUGGAAUUCCAUGUGUAGCGGUGAAAUGCGUAGAUAUAUGGAGGAACACCGGUGGCGAAAGCGGCUCUCUGGCUUGUAACUGACGCUGAGGCUCGAAAGCGUGGGGAGCAAACAGG